UCAGGGCACAAAAUGUGAUCUUUAUUCGAGAACAGCAUCAAACAGGGUCAUUGUUACACGUCAGGGAACCAUCUGCACAAAGUUUGAGGUUUAUUAAUAAAAUGAUCGGAACGUCAUGUCUUUAAUGGCAAUGCGAUUGUUUUAUGAAAGAAAACUGCCUCCGAGUCAGUUCUGUGGCUUCUCCUGUCAAUCAAGUAACCUGGAGUUGCUUUUUCUUUCAAUUUAAAGAAGUCCUUUGUAACCUCAGAAACAAAUAUUGUCAAAGGCCAAGCUCCAAGUCAGGAUUUUUCUGAUUUAGUGUCACAAAUGAUAGAUUUUUAAUUAAAUCCCAAAUAUUUUAAAGGGGUUUAGUGUUACAGCAGGUUCGAAAAAGGUUCAGGAGCAGGAAAUGAGACCUCAGUCAGAUAGACAUUUUAGCAAUGCUUUAUUUACAACAAGAUGAUAAAUACAAGAACCUGAAAUAGAACUCCAACUCAGGAACUAAACUAAACCAAGAAAACCAGAAACCAUCUAGUGGUACGGAGGAUAACUACACAAGGAUGAGAACUUAAACUAUGUUAACCCACGUAUAGUAUAACCAAGGCAGGAGAACAACUGAAAAUACAAAAACCCUAACCAGCCUAGACUCUAACUAAUCCUGAACAGAAAUCCCCAGACUAAAAAUUAUUUUAUGCAGAAUAUAAAAUAAAUAAUAUUAAGUACAGAACGCAGAUUGUAAACUUCAACGUACCAAAUGUUAUACCAGGGCUUGGAAACUUGACAAGUAGGAAUUCAGUCCUUGGCCUGGCUUCUCUCAGCUCUCUCCCUUUUCAGGAACUCAACACGUGGAAGGUUGUAGGCGUCCAAGAGUUCAUAGAAGGUAGGCAUUUCUCCCAGAGUGUUCCGUCCAGAUGAAGCCUGUGUUUCCCAGGACGAAGCUGGCGAGAGGUGGAAUCCUCCGUCAGAACAGAAUCCAAGGCAGAGGGGAGGACCAGCAGGCUAGAAGAUCCCAGAACCAGCAGGUAGGAGUCAACUUCACUAAACACAGAAAACAGGAUUAAUAAAAGUCCAAAAGGCUGGUGGCAAAGACAGUUCUACUCACCGUACUGACUGGAGAAUAGACAACGGUCCAGCUUUGAAUGACAGGUGCGGUCUGCUUUUAUGGAGACACCCAAGGACUAGUUACUCAGCUCCCACCUGCAGCUCAUCUGCUAAUUAUCAUGCAACACACCUGCUGCCAGCUUCACCACCAACACACCUAGGAGAGAGAGAGAGAGAGAGAGAGAGAGAGAGAGAGAGAGAGAGAGAGAGAGAGAGAGAGAGAGAGAGAGAGAGAGAGAGAGAGA
ensembl:lncRNA